AAGCACCCCCUUCCUCCCACAGACCUUUAGCUUGGUUUGAUGUUUGAUCUCAAUCUGAAAAUUAUGCUGACUUUCUGAAAUGUUUUCUGCUCCUGCCAGGAGGAUGUGAUCUACCCAGUAUCUACGCCAAGCAGCAGAAAUGAAUGAAGGAACAGAUUCCCAGAAGGGAGUGACUGAGACAGUUAAACAGCCCUUUCGUGAACACUGCCUCAAAUCCAACCUGCUACCAACUGGACAAAGUCUACUUUUCAGCAUUGCAAAAGCCUUCAAUUUUAGACACCUAAAGCCUCCACUUCAAGUGUAACUUUCCACUACUUUCAAAGAUUUGGUGGUUUCCCAGGCCACAUUCAGUUCUAGAAGUAAACACUGGGCAACAAAUACCCCAGCUUAAUGGACAAGUCAUUUAGCCUCUUUGGGUCUGUUUUCUCAUCUGGAAAACAGGAAGGUUGAACUACAUUCAUCUCUAAUGUUUUCUCCAGCUGUAGAAAAAUUUGAGGAUUCAAUAUUAACGGUUAGCAGAAGUUUCUGUGGUUUCCUGCAUUAUUUCUUUGGUCAAAUAAGAUGCCUUUGACAUCCCACAUCCCACACUGUGAAUAAAAUGCCCUGAUCUACCUCCCCAGUACCGGAAGAUUUUUUUUCCCUUUCCCUUUCACUUGAAACAUGCAUUGGAAAAUUUCCCUCUUGAAAGCAAUAUACUGACAAAUUUUAAGUACUGUUCUUUAUACAUGGUCUUUUAUUAAGAUGUUAAUGUAAUCACCAGUCAAUUCCUAUGCUGCUCAUCUGAUUCAUGGGGGAACUCAAGCCACAAAAGGAUGGAGAAAAUCUGACCAGCAGCAUGUGGCACACCCACAUAGUGACUGCUAAUGAGGAGAGAAUGAGGCAAAAUCUGGGUAAAAAAAAGGGGGUGGUAAAGAGAAGUUCAGUGAGUCAGUGCAAGGGAAAACACAGGUUAAUAGAAAAGAAAGAAAAGGAAAUGUGAAAGGAAGAAGAAAAGCAAAAAAGGGAGGGAAUCUAUAAUAAACAAUGAGUAGAAACUUAAAAACCUGAAAUUCUGUUCAGUUAUUCAUUCAUUCAUCCAAUAGAUAUUGAAUGCCCACUAUGUGCAGGGAACUGAACUAGAUACUAGGAGAAAGACAAAGGUCAACCAGACAGAUCUGCUCAGUGAGGCCAUGGUCUAGUAGGAGAUAGGUAGGUACACAAACAACUAUAAUAGAUGGCAGAAAGUGUAAUGUGCCACAAAGGAGACAUAAAAGAGAAUUCUCUGCUAUGAGACUCAGGAAGAAGUGAUUACUCCCAGUGAGGGAUCAGACUAGGGAGCCUUCAUGGGAAGAAUGACAUUCCAAGCCAAAAGCACAACAGAAACAAGGGUACUCAAGUAGGAAAUCAAGAUCAUACAGGAGCAGUGAGUAACUGGCAAUAGCUAGUGAUCCAGAGAGCCAUGUCUAAAUUGGAUAGGUGGACUGGAGCCAGACUGAGUAUUCAGAAAUUGGCAUUAGUAUCUGAAUUUAAGUCUAGUGGAAGAGGAAGGGGACAGGAAGGAGUUGAUGGACUAGGAGCUGGAAGAAACUCAAAAACUUAACCCAUAAAAUUAAGAUAAUAAAAUCAACACAAAAUCAAUGUGCACAGAUAUGUAAAGUUCCUCCAAAGAGACAGAGUAUCUUCCAAACCAAAAGCAAGAAGAGGACAAAAAGGCUUGGAUGACUAUAUUAAUACACGGGUAUUUAAACAAAGAAUGUGACCACAUCUAAGACUGGUUAACAAAGAAAUCUGGAAAAAUCUAGAAAAAACAGGGAGGGGCAUUUUGACUCCAGAACUGCCCAAAGCCAAGAAAUACUAGAGAUAGGUGACACAACAUCUUCUCUGCAGUGGAACAAGGUUAUUUCACAAAGCUUAGAUGGGUACAGCAUAUAGUAGCAGCUAGGGGUAGGGGCUCUUAGGGGCAGAGGGACUUGGUUCAAAUCUCAGUUCAGCAUCUUAUCAGCUUGAAGAGAGCUUGGUUUCCUCAUUUGUAAAUUGAAGAUAAUUGUACCUACUUUGCAGGAGGAUCACUGGGACAAUGAAAUGCCCUACUGUAUGCAAAGUACUUAAUACAAUACCAGGCAUUAUGGGAAACAAUAAUCUUUUUUGUAACUAUAUUCUCCCCCACAAACCAUUCUAUCUUAUAAAUCCAUGCUCACCAAGCAAGCUUGAUAUUAUUAAAUUUGAUUGCCAGAUCUCUUGAUAUUGAAAAGCAAUUAUCCUAACAAAUUCCAGAAUCCCGUUAACGGAAAAGGAAUCCUUCAUUCUAAAAUAAUAAAUUGGCAUUCCAUUCUGAGCUCAAUCACUCAAGUCUGAAUACAAUCCUGUCUUCAAGACUAAUUAUUUCCAGGUUCUCCACAAAAUACAUUUUGUGACCCAAGACUAGACUGACGACACAGUGACCAAAAUCCUGAGGGGUCAUCCUGAGAAGCUAGAUUGGCACCACCCUGGCCAGCCCUACCUAAUGCCACCCUCGCUCUACAAGCUAACUUGUAUAAUACUUUCCCAUACUUCUCCACCUUCCACCCCUGUCAUACCCUUCAAUCAAGCACUAUAGUGAAGCACUUUACCUUCCUCUCUAACCGUGUAGAGGUCAAAUACACCAUCUUAUCCAUUUUUGCAUUUUCCUCCAUAUCCCAAUAUAACUUGCAUCAAAAGAACCACAAUAAAUAUUUACUGUAAAACACAAUUUUGCUUAACAACACAAGCCAUUGCAUUCCACCAUUCCCACAAGCUGAGGCCUCUUUCUGAUUUAUUUUUCCCACAUCAGAUGGGUAAUGCACUGACUUUGUAGUAACAAGGCUUGAUGGAGGCACAUCUCAUACAUGUGCAUGAAAAUCCAAUCAUUACACUUAUGAACAACAAAAUAAUCCCCUUUCUAAUUUACUGAACUCUUACUCUAUCUUUUAUCUUCCCCUCCCUCCCCCACCUCUCCAUUCCUAAACUGCCAGAUUACUAUAGAAAAAUCAGAAGACUUUAUUUAACUGGGUUGCUAACAAAUUCAUACAGCUGGGGUAAGCCAUCACUGGGCUCUAAAAACCUUUCAUUCCUCUCUAGCUGAUGUCCUGAUAGGGCUUUCCAAAGAGCAGUGUCAUGCAAGGUUUAGGAGCAUGGGGCCUGGGUCAGACAGAACUCAUAGUCUUCUUUCUGUGUGACCUGUUAAGGUGAUUAAUUCCCUAAGCGUCAUUUUUCUCAUCUGUAAAAUGAAGUACCUAAAAGAGGUCAUUCACACAAAUCCUUAACACUAACACAGUGACAGGCUUAGAGUAGGUGCUUAGUAAACACCGAUCCAACAGCUUUUUUUUUUUUUUUGAGAUUGAGUCUUGCUUUGUUGCCCAGGCUGGAGUGCAGUGGCGCGAUUUUGGCUCACUGCAAGCUCCACCUCCCGGGUUCACGCCAUUCUCCUGCCUCAGCCUCCUGAGUAGCUGGGACUACGGGUGCCCACCAGCACGCCUGGCCAAUUUUUUUGUAUUUUUAGUAGACACGGGGUUUCACCGUGUUAGCCAAGAUGGUCUCGAUCUCCUGACCUCGUGAUCCACUUGCCUCGGCCUCCCAAAGUGCUGGGAUUACAGGCGUGAGCCACAGCGCCCGGCCAAUGGUCACCAAUGAUCUUCUGAUGGAUAAAUGUGUGAUUCUUUCCUAUGUCCUCAACCUUCAUGACUCCCUGAAGCCCCAUGCACCCAAAACCUACCCAAAUUCUUCAUUAUGAAGCUGUCUUCAGAGGGUUACCAAGAACUAUGGACAGAAAUAUAACUUUAAUUAAGCAUUAGGCCAGGUGCGAUGGCUCACCUGUAAUCCCAGCACUUUGGGAGGCCAAGGUGGGCGGAUCACCUGA
rnacentral:lncRNA from 10 species